ensembl:rRNA 5S_rRNA 5S ribosomal RNA
AUCUACAGCCAUACGAACCUGAACGCGCGUGAUCUUGUCUGAUCUCAGAAGCUUAGCUGGGUCUGGCCGUUUGGUACUUGAAUGGGAGACCGCCUGGGAAUACUGGGCGCUGUAGGCU